CGGGGAAAUGAAACGCCACACGCCGGCGGACACGCUACAACAACGGGAUGGUUGUGGUAAGGAAAAGAACGAGUAAAGGAACUGCCACACGCGGGACGCGAUCCCCAGUUUGCGGGGUGAAAGUCCUGUGUUGUUGACCCAUCCACCACCCCAACCAGCCUCCUUACAUACCACUCGCUA